AGGACAAACGCUGGCGGCGUGCGUAACACAUGCAAGUCGAACGCUCUGGUCUCUUUCGGGAGAGCAGGGAGUGGCGGACGGGUGAGGAACACAUGGGUAUCUACCUCCGGGUGGGGGAUACCGGCGAGAAAAUCGCCGACAAGACCGCAUAGGCUCGAUGCAAGUCGAGCAAAGCUCUUUCGAGAGAGGGAGCGCCACACGAGGAGCCUGCGCCCGAUUAGCUAGCUGGUGGAGUAACGGUUCACCAGGGCGACGAUCGGUAGCUGGCUUGAGAGAGCGACCAGCCACACUGGGACUGAGACACGGCCCAGACUCCUACGGGAGGCAGCAGUGAGGAAUUUUCCGCAAUGGGCGAAAGCCUGACGGAGCGACGCCGCGUGUGGGAAGAAGGCCUUCGGGUCGUAAACCACUGUCGAAGGGAAGAUAUUGACGGUACCCUUGGAGGAGCCCCGGCUAACGUACGCGCCAGCAGCCGCGGU
rnacentral:rRNA from 1 species